GUCGUCCGCCUCCUCGCCGGCUCCGUCCUUCUCCGUCCGCCGCUGAUGCCGCCCGCCUCCUCGGCUCCUUCUUUCUAUGGCCUCCGCUGAUGCCACCCUCCUCCUCUCCGGCUCUGUCCAUCUCCCCCAACCUCCCACACGGUGUAGAUGGUGGGGAUGAUGCGGCCUGAGACUUGGAGAGGGCACGCCGGCAGCUCCAGAUCGAUCCGAUGCGGUGGCGCUAGAAAAACUUCAGCAAUUUCUCGACCUACUCCUGCCGUGAGAUCAAUUUGCGGAGGCCAAAAUUCAAGAUCUCGCGAGUGUUGGCACAACCCCAACGCAAUGACGCUGGAUUACUUUCCAGCAAGUUGCAACGAAGGCAGCAGAUCGAGUCGGGUCGCCAAGCAAGCUGCAGAUCAAUUAGUCCAAUUGCAGCCGAUGCAAACCUGCAACACUCGCACCUAAUACACAUGAAGAAAAAUCUAGCUCGAUUUGGUGAAAGAUAGACUAUCAAGUAGCAACAUUCACGAUAACAAUACAGGGUUGUUGGAUGGCCACAUUCACGUACCGUGACAUACACCUGAUUCUUAUGGCUACUAGCUUGUGGUGUUGCUGCUGUCGGCCCGAGGAGGGUGAUAGGUCGAAUAAUACAUUGGUACAUUUUGCCUUUGCUGAUUAGACCUUCAGUUCAUGUUAGCCAUGCUUAUUCUUUCCAGUCAUUUAGUUUACUCGCAUGCCACCUUUUUAAUAUGUGCAUGUGUGUGUAUGUGUUGAUGCAUUUGCUAGGAGCAAAAGGUUUAAUAUUUUCAAUGCGUGGCCAUGAAAUAGAAUUACUUUUCCCUGAAAAAUAUACUAUAUUUGAUAGUUAGCAUUUGUACCAAGUGAUAUUUGUGGUUUUCAAUAUGAGUCAAUGAUAUGAAAAUGCACCCAAUGGUAUUUCCUCAAAUCAACAAUUUCCGCUUGCAAUUUGUGAUUCACAUUUUAUGACCAUUGCUUGCACUUUACAAUUGUUGAAGGAUAACUUUAUCAUAACUGUGAAGCACUGCAGCUACAAUAAUUGCCUUGUUCCUUGGACUUAAGUUGAUUCAAGACAUUUCGUGUACAUCUCAAGGUUUUGAGUGUAUUCCUAAUUAAAUUAAUUUGAUGCAAAACUUUCGUGUACACCUCAAGGUUUUAAGUGUAUUCUGAUAUUUAUGAAAUUAUCAUCAAGUCAAUUAGUUCAUAUGCUUUAUAGUGCACUAUGUUUAAUUUAGCAUCAACAACUAUUUAUCCAAUCAUAUAGAGUUUACAUGUAUUCUUAUUUUGAGGCAUUAUGUUGUUUUUCCAUGAGUUAAUAAAUCUGAAUAUGUUCUGACAUUUGUAGUACUUAUGGGCAAAGAUUUAAUUGGUGCUAACUUUCUUUGUUUGAAUCAUUUGAAGGCAUCUACAAAGUUAUACAAAUUCACCUUCGAUGUAGGUAUGCAACCUAUUUAUGGUUUCUACUGUGUGAGUCUGUGGCUCUAAAAUGUAAUAUUCCGCUUCUGUUUUGUGAUGUGGACGGUUGACGGUUGCGCUCUAAGUUGGCCUUUCAAGUGUGCGAUGCUCCCUGUUGUGCUGAAAGAUCUCUCUCUCCCUCUCUCAUACAUCAGUUUAGCCUGCAAUUUCUUUUUCUCUGAUUGUCUAGGCUCAAGUGUACGAUUGAUUUGGUUUAGCCUCAUGCAUAAUAGCUCAACCAAAAGGGUCAUAUAUUUAGGCAAAAUUGUACAAAAUGAAAUGUAUGCCCGGGAAGUAGCUUUGCAGUGAAAGUGGUCUUAAAAAGCAUCUCUUUAGAAGCAAAGCUAGGUUACAGAGGAAUGUAAUUGUGGGAACUUAUUCUUCAAAAUCCUAUUUUGUUUUAUCAUUUAGGUAUUUGGGUUUUAUACCAGUUUAUUGUGUUACUAUUUCAGAGGUGAUGAAGAAUGUUCCCUUGAAAGCUACAAUGUUUAUGUUUUGGAUGCCAAGCAAAUAAGGGCAAUGAGUGGAUAAUCCACAUCGCUUCAGUGCAAAGAGUGGAAGGCAUGUUAUCUGAGGUUCGGCAUGCUCCUCUUUUCCCCUCAAUUGCAGAAGACACUUCUAAGGAAAUUUGCUAUGUACUUCAGUGGUGACAAAUUUGCUGAACUUGGGCAUUAUUCAGUUCCAUCCCUAUAUUAAGAAAUUCAGCCGAGUCAUGUACAUUUGGAGGGAAACUCACUCGACGUUUUCUUCCCUGAGGACUGAAUGAUGAAUGAUAAAAAUACGCAGAGGUAGUCUCCUUGAGCAGAAUGCCGCUUCUUUCCUUUAUGUUAAGUACGUCCCACCUUCUGCAUAUUUGAGAUUUGAGGUACCUAUUAGCAUUAGAUUUGCAAUUAAUUAAUUCGCUCGGUUUAGAUAGACCUCAUUGGUAGAUAUGUCUAUUGUAACAUUUGGCUAUUCUCAGUUCCGUAAUUUUUAAUCGCCGUUUGAUGUGCACUGAACAGAAGUGGUUUGGGGAUUGUACAUACUCCAGGCAUGUAAGUUUUGCAUACUUUAUCCUUACGAGUGUUGUACAAGUUGAUGUUUUGUGUGUAUGAGUGGUGUCAGCAAAACUAAGUAGAUUUUUACUAGAAGCAUGGUUACAAUUCUUCAUGCCACUUCUUCUCUUGAUCUUCAAGAAAACUGCUAGGGCAUUUUGAUUCAAAAGGUGUUGUUCAAUUCUCUUUGCUUGAGUAGUUGCAUAGUAUAUAAUCACCAAUGCUCAUGUGAGAUUUGGAAAAAUAUCUUUUUUCCCAAGAUAUGGAAACAUAAUUUCUUUACUAGCAAAAAUCACACAUUAAUUUAUUGACUGCUAAUGCAACAUAUCAAUUAGUUUCUUGCCAUUAAAAUCAGAUCAUGGGUCUGUAAUACCAGAAAAUGAUAGUUGUUAAGGUUAGUGAUCUACUUGUUACUGCAAUGUGUGUACACUGUACAGUUCAUGCUUUGAUGAUCAAAUUGAUCUGACUGUUGUUUCCUUAGCUUCUCAUGUUGAUAGCUUUUUCUUGUGCGGACAAACGGCGACUUCUAAUUUACUGAUCUUGUGUAGAGUUGGCACUAAUAGUUACAGAGGUGAAUGAUUCUCACGACUGGUGGUUUAUGGCCUGCCAAAAUUGUUGGAGAAAGACAAGCCCUAAUAAUGGGAACGCUUACAAGUGACCUUAUUGUCCCCGCAUAACAUGAGUGGAGACGUAAACCACUCUAUAGUUUCACAAACUAUCUUACAAAGAUAGAGCAGACUCUGUGAUUUCAUAUAUGGAAAACUAUAAGCAGUAAUGUGAUGUUCUGGUGCA